rnacentral:rRNA from 1 species
AUACGGAGGGUGCAAGCGUUAAUCGGAAUUACUGGGCGUAAAGCGCGCGUAGGUGGUUUGAUAAGUCGGAUGUGAAAGCCCCGGGCUCAACCUGGGAACUGCAUUCGAUACUGGCAGGCUAGAGUAUAGUAGAGGCAAGUGGAAUUCCGGGUGUAGCGGUGAAAUGCGUAGAUAUCCGGAGGAACAUCAGUGGCGAAGGCGACUUGCUGGACUAAUACUGACGCUGAGGAGCGAAAGCGUGGGGAGCAAACGGGAUUAGAAACCCCGGUAGUCC